rnacentral:rRNA from 1 species
GAUGAACGCUGGCGGCGUGCCUAAUACAUGCAAGUCGGGCGAACGGACGAGAAACUUGCUUUUCUGAUGUUAGCGGGGGACGGGCGAGUAACACGUGGAUAACCUACCUAUAAGACUGGGAUAACUUCGGGAAACCGGAGCUAAUACCGGAUAAUAUUUUGAACCGCAUGGUUCAAAAGUGAAAGACGGUCUUGCUGUCACUUAUAGAUGGAUCUGCGCUGCAUUAGCUAGUUGGUAAGGUAACGGCUUACCAAGGCAACGAUGCGUAGCCGACCUGAGAGGGUGAGCAGCCACACUGGAUCUGAGACGCGGUCCAGACUCCUACGGGAGGCAGCAGUAGGGAAUCUUCCGCAAUGGGCGAAAGCCUGACGGAGCAACGCCGCGUGAGUGAUGAAGGUCUUCGGAUCGUAAAACUCUGUUAUUAGGGAAGAACAUUUGUGUAAGUAACUGUGCACGUCUUGACGGUACCUAAUCAGAAAGCCACGGCUAACUACGUG